rnacentral:rRNA from 1 species
CGAACGAGCGAGAGAGAGCUUGCUUUCUCAAGCGAGUGGCGAACGGGUGAGUAACGCGUGAGGAACCUGCCUCAAAGAGGGGGACAACAGUUGGAAACGACUGCUAAUACCGCAUAAGCCCACAGGUCGGCAUCGACCAGAGGGAAAAGGAGCAAUCCGCUUUGAGAUGGCCUCGCGUCCGAUUAGCUAGUUGGUGAGGUAACGGCCCACCAAGGCAACGAUCGGUAGCCGGACUGAGAGGUUGAACGGCCACAUUGGGACUGAGACACGGCCCAGACUCCUACGGGAGGCAGCAGUGGGGAAUAUUGCACAAUGGGGGAAACCCUGAUGCAGCGACGCCGCGUGGAGGAAGAAGGUCUUCGGAUUGUAAACUCCUGUUGUUGAGGAAGAUAAUGACGGUACUCAACAAGGAAGUGACGGCUAACUACGUGCCAGCAGCCGCGGUAAAACGUAGGUCGCAAGCGUUGUCCGGAAUUACUGGGUGUAAAGGGAGCGCAGGCGGGAAGACAAGUUGGAAGUGAAAUCUAUGGGCUCAACCUAUAAACUGCUUUCAAAACUGUUUUUCUUGAGUAGUGCAGAGGUAGGCGGAAUUCCCGGUGUAGCGGUGGAAUGCGUAGAUAUCGGGAGGAACACCAGUGGCGAAGGCGGCCUACUGGGCACCAACUGACGCUGAGGCUCGAAAGUGUGGGUAGCAAACAGGAUUAGAUACCCUGGUAGUCCACACCGUAAACGAUGAUUACUAGGUGUUGGAGGAUUGACCCCUUCAGUGCCGCAGUUAACACAAUAAGUAAUCCACCUGGGGAGUACGACCGCAAGGUUGAAACUCAAAGGAAUUGACGGGGG